UAAAAUUAAACUAUAAAAUAUAAAUGUAUUAGAGAAUGAUACAAUUUGCAAAACUUUUAUAUAUAAAAUAAUUCUUAAAUUUUAAAAAUUACUCUUUAAAAAAAAAUAACGGGACGGGUAAAGAAAUUAUAGAACAGGUUUUAUUUUGGAAUUGGAUUAUAUGGUGGAUCUAUUUGAAUCAAUAUUUAUAAAAUUUUAAAAUAUUAUUAAUAUGCUGUUUUAAUAGGGGUUACAACUUCAGUUUUUUAAAAAUUGUCUCAUGGAUUCGUGGUAUAACGUUAUUUAAUAAUAAUUAUAAACUGUAAAAUAUAAAUAUUUUAU
rnacentral:sRNA from 1 species